CGCCAGCCUCAUGCCGAGUCCCGCUAGAGAAGCCACAGCCAGUACGCCAGGUUUCCCCGCGCCUCUGCCGAGUGUCAUUCUCCAGCUGGGAUUGAGAACAAGGGGAAGCUGGCCAUAGAGCCAGGUGACCAAAGAUGGAAGACAAAGGGUGGGCUGUGAUUCCCAGAGCUCCAAGCCUUGUUCUGUCUUGUCACACCAACUGUUACUGAUGAACAGAAAAGAUUUUCUUGGAAUUCCUAUGCCCCUGGCCUUGACUCUGGAGCCAGGGGUCAGGUGACUCACAGCUGAAGAAGUGUGGCUGCUAUUAAAACAUGCCAGAGGAGAGCUUACGACGGCCACUAUUGUUAAGAGUAUCAUUAACGGUGUCAAAAUUCUUGUCAAAAAUCCUGUGUUGCCCCAUAAAUAUAUACACCUACUAUGUAUCCACAAAAAUUUAAAAAAAUCUUACUUUGAAUUACAAAAAAAGGAAGCAGAACAGUAUCUAAUAAAUGACAAAGUGCUUUUCAUGUCUUCUCAGUUGAUCUCC
rnacentral:lncRNA from 10 species